rnacentral:rRNA from 1 species
CCUACGGGUGGCAGCAGUGAGGAAUAUUGGUCAAUGGGCGAGAGCCUGAACCAGCCAAGUCGCGUGAGGGAGUACUGCCCUAUGGGUUGUAAACCUCUUUUGUCGGGGAGCAAAAGCCGGACGUGUCCGGCUGUGAGAGUACCCGAAGAAAAAGCAUCGGCUAACUCCGUGCCAGCAGCCGCGGUAAUACGGAGGAUGCGAGCUUUAUACGGAUUUAUUGGGGUUAAUGGGUGCGCAGGCGGAAUUUUAAGGCAGCGUUCAAAUCGUGGGGCUCAACCCCGUCCAGCCGUUGAAACUGGGGGUCUUGAGUGUGCGAGAGGUAUGCGGAAUGCGUGGUGUAGCGGUGAAAUGCAUAGAUAUCACGAAGAACCCCGAUUGCGAAGGCAGCAUACCGGUGCACAACUGACGCUCAGGCACGAAAGCGUGGGUAUCGAACAGGAUUAGAUACCCUUGUAGUC